CCACAUGGUUGAUCUGACUCCCUUGAUUCUCAACCCUGGAGGCUUCCAUUUCUCAUAUGUGGCUGGAAACAGCGUGCCCAAGCUCCAUUGCCCUGGCUCCCCCUG
rnacentral:sRNA from 1 species